AGAGUUUGAUCCUGGCUCAGGAUGAACGCUAGCGACAGGCCUAACACAUGCAAGUCGAGGGGCAGCACAUGAGUAGCAAUACGAUGGUGGCGACCGGCGCACGGGUGAGUAACACGUAUGCAACCUGCCUGUAAGAGGGGAAUAACCCGGAGAAAUUCGGAUUAAUACCGCAUAACACUGUGAUAUCGCAUGAUAUUACAUUUAAACAUUUAUGGCUUACAGAUGGGCAUGCGUAUGAUUAGCUAGUUGGUGAGGUAACGGCUCACCAAGGCAACGAUCAUUAGGGGUUCUGAGAGGAAGGUCCCCCACACUGGUACUGAGACACGGACCAGACUCCUACGGGAGGCAGCAGUGAGGAAUAUUGGUCAAUGGACGAGAGUCUGAACCAGCCAAGUCGCGUGAAGGAAGAAUGUCCUAUGGAUUGUAAACUUCUUUUGUAGAGGAAUAAAAGAUAGUACGUGUACUAUAUUGUAUGUACUUUACGAAUAAGGAUCGGCUAACUCCGUGCCAGCAGCCGCGGUAAUACGGAGGAUCCAAGCGUUAUCCGGAUUUAUUGGGUUUAAAGGGUGCGUAGGCGGACGUUUAAGUCAGUGGUGAAAGUUUGCAGCUCAACUGUAAAAUUGCCAUUGAAACUGAAUGUCUUGAGUGUAAAUGAGGUAGGCGGAAUGUGUUGUGUAGCGGUGAAAUGCUUAGAUAUAACACAGAACACCAAUUGCGAAGGCAGCUUACUGGGAUACAACUGRCGCUGAGGCACGAAAGCGUGGGGAUCAAACAGGAUUAGAUACCCUGGUAGUCC
rnacentral:rRNA from 1 species